AACGAACGUUAGCGGCGCGCCUAAGACAAGCAAGUCGAGCGAGAAAGGGAUUCGUCCCCGGUAAAGCGGCGCACGGGUGAGUAACACGUAGGUCAUCAACCCUCGAGUGGUGGAUAACUCUCCGAAAGGAGAGCUAAUACAGCAUGAUGCUAGUAAUAGCUAAAGCGGGCCUCUUCAUGAAAGCUCGCGCUAGAGGAUGAGCCUGCGGCCCAUCAGGUAGUUGGCGGAGUAACAGCCCACCAAGCCAAGGACGGGUAGCUGGUCUGAGAGGAUGAACAGCCACACUGGAACUGAGACACGGUCCAGACUCCUACGGGAGGCAGCAGUCGGGAAUCUUCCGCAAUGGGCGAAAGCCUGACGGAGCGACGCCGCGUGAGUGAUGAAGGCCUUCGGGUUGUAAAGCUCUGUGGGGAGAGAAGAAUAAGUGCAGGCUAAUACUCUGCAUGAUGACGGUAUCUCCUUAGCAAACACCGGCUAACUCUGUGCCAGCCGCCGCAGUAA
rnacentral:rRNA from 1 species